GAUGAACGCUGGCGGCGUGCCUAAUACAUGCAAGUCGAGCGAACAGACGAGGAGCUUGCUCCUCUGACGUUAGCGGCGGACGGGUGAGUAACACGUGGAUAACCUACCUAUAAGACGGGGAUAACUUCGGGAAACCGGAGCUAAUGCCGGAUAAUAUAUUGAACCGCAUGGUUCAAUAGUGAAAGACGGUUUUGCUGUCACUUAUAGAUGGAUCCGCGCCGCAUUAGCUAGUUGGUAAGGUAACGGCUUACCAAGGCAACGAUGCGUAGCCGACCUGAGAGGGUGAUCGGCCACACUGGAACUGAGACACGGUCCAGACUCCUACGGGAGGCAGCAGUAGGGAAUCUUCCGCAAUGGGCGAAAGCCUGACGGAGCAUCGCCGCGUGAGUGAUGAAGGUCUUCGGAUCGUAAAACUCUGUUAUUAGGGAAGAACAAAUGUGUAAGUAACUAUGCACGUCUUGACGGUACCUAAUCAGAAAGCCACGGCUAACUACGUG
rnacentral:rRNA from 1 species